rnacentral:rRNA from 1 species
UGCCUCAGUAACGGCGAGUGAAGCGGCAACAGCUCAAAUUUGAAAUCUGGCCCUAGGCCCGAGUUGUAAUUUGCAGAGGAUGCUUUUGGUGCGGUGCCUUCCAAGUUCCCUAGAACGGGACGCCAGAGAGGGUGAGAGCCCCGUACAGUUGGACACCAAGCCUUUGUAAAGCUCCUUCGACGAGUCGAGUAGUUUGGGAAUGCUGCUCAAAAUGGGAGGUAUAUUUCUUCUAAAGCUAAAUACCGGCCAGAGACCGAUAGCGCACAAGUAGAGUGAUCGAAAGAUGAAAAGCACUUUGAAAAGAGGGUUAAACAGCACGUGAAAUUGUUAAAAGGGAAGCGCUUGUGACCAGACUUGCGUCCGGUGAAUCACCCAGCUCUCGCGGCUGGGGCACUUCGCCGGCUCAGGCCAGCAUCAGCUCGCUGUCGGGGACAAAAGCUUCAGGAACGUAGCUCUCUUCGGGGAGUGUUAUAGCCUGUUGCACAAUACCCUUCGGCGGGCUGAGGUACGCGCUCCGCAAGGAUGCUGGCAUAAUGGUCAUCAGCGACCCGUCUUGAAACACGGACCAAGGAGUCAACCUUAUGUGCGAGUGUUCGGGUGUCAAACCCCUACGCGUAAUGAAAGUGAACGCAGGUGAGAGCUUCGGCGCAUCAUCGACCGAUCCUGAUGUUCUCGGAUGGAUUUGAGUAAGAGCAUAUAGGGUUGGACCCGAAAGAAGGUGAACUAUGCGUGUAUAGGGUGAAGCCAGAGGAAACUCUGGUGGAGGCUCGCAGCGGUUCUGACGUGCAAAUCGAUCGUCAAAUAUGCGCAUGGGGGCGAAAGACUAAUCGAACCUUCUAGUAGCUGG